UUAGUAGCUGCUUGUGUAGUUGAUGCACACAGUUUUGUAUUUCUAGUUGCCUACGGUGUGCUGGAGACAGAGUCUGAGGAGAGCUGGACUUGGUUUUUGCAUAAUCUGCGUCGUGCUAUUGCACAUCCCAAUGGGUUGGUCAUUCAUACAGAUGCCUGCAAAGGUUUAGAAGUGGCCGUGGAUAAUGUGUUCCCUGAAGUAGAGCAUAGGGAAUGCAUGCGUCACCUUGCUGCAAAUUUCAUGAAGAAAUUCAAAGGAAAGGUGUAUACCAACAAUUUAUGGCCAGCAUCUUUGACUUGCAAUGUGAAGAAGCACAACUACCACUUGAGGCAGUUAUACAUGAAUCCCAAAGUGAAAGAAUACUUGGAAACACACCACUCCAAGUUAUGGGCCAGAAGCCAAUUCAGUGAACUGAGCAAAGUUGACUAUGUGCACAAUAAUCUAGCAGAGUCUUUCAACUCAACGAUCCGGAAA
rnacentral:rRNA from 1 species